UCCUGUGUGGCUCAGUUGGUAGAGCAUGGUGUUUGCAACGCCAGGGUUGUGGGUUCGAUUCUCACGUGGGAC
rnacentral:tRNA from 1 species